CCUCAGGCUCCUCCAGCUGGCAUGGACAGGCCUGCCACAAACUGCCUCAGCUCCAGACAUGUAAUGAAGCAGAACUCUGUCAGCCCUCAGCUUUUAAUGGUUACUGAAUUACACCUGGUACCCGUUUGGUCCCUUGGCCGAUUCGUAAUCAAUUUGAUAGCGCUCGUGGUCAACACACACAGUGCACUGCUGUGCACAGCUGACAGAAGAUGCAGGAAUAUAAGGCAGCAAAGAUGGCAGUGCUUAAAUCAAAGCAGGAAACCAGAGCCGACAUUAUAAACAACAACAAAACGGCCACCACCACCUCAGCAGGGCCAGGACUGAAGCCUCAUCCAGUUCAAAUUGCAGAGUAAAUCAGUUAGUAUUUCUGUCAUGUAAGUCAUUGCAUCAUCAUUUGUAAUAAAAGCUAUGCAACUUUGUUUCUUUAAGAUUAUAUCAUAUAUGUGUGUUUUUAAAUGUCUGUAUUUUACAAAAGCUCACCAUAAUUAUGUUACAAAGAGUGUGUCUCUAGCAAAAUUUAUUCAAAAAGUAUCUGAGUUCAAUAGGUUCACAGAAAUUUUCUUUAUCCUAACAAGCAAAAAAGGAAAUUUAAAGUAGCAGUUUUAUAGAAAACUGCUAACUGCAGUGCUCUAAAUAGUAAUAAUCUGAGUAAUUUUACCUCUACUCAACAGACCAGUUUAGAUGUAGCCAUUUUUUCUGCUUUUUGCAAGCUAACAGGUGAUUUUAAAUAUGACUGUGUAUGGGAGAUUUUCUCAAAAGAUUACAAUAUACUUAUAAGGCGUACAUUUUAUUCAACUUCAUGUACAACAAUCAAGUUGAUAAUUUCAAGUUAUUUGAGGGCAAAGUUUAUAUUCUGUCCUUA